UACGGAGGGUGCGAGCGUUAAUCGGAAUCACUGGGCGUAAAGCGCACGUAGGCGGUGUCGUAAGUCGGAUGUGGAAGCCCUCGGCUCAACCGGGGAACUGCACUCGAUACUGCGAUGCUUGAGUGCCGGAGAGGGUGGCGGAAUUCCAGGUGGAGGAGUGAAAUCCGUAGAUAUCUGGAGGAACACCGGUGGCGAAGGCGGCCACCUGGCCGGCAACUGACGCUGAGGUGCGAAAGCGUGGGGAUCAAUCAGG
rnacentral:rRNA from 1 species